CCUCGUUAACUCAGUUGGUAGAGUAACGGUCUUUUAAACCGUGAGUGGUGUGUUCGAUUCACACACGAGGUAC
rnacentral:tRNA from 1 species